GGGGUCCCGCUCCGCCACUCCGCGAGACCCCCCUGCAUGCAGCCGGAGCAGCCGGCGGUAGCCAGGGCGCGAGCCCCGCUGCUUCCCCUCCCGCGCCUCGCCGCGCCUCGCCGCGCCUGCCUGUUUGCGACCCCCUCAGCCUAGACCGCGCCGCGGAGAGGAGAGGCGAGGCGAGGCGAGGCGAGGCGAAGAGGGCAUUUCGGGCCGGCGGAGGAGACAAUGAACAACGCCAAAAGCGAGCAAGAGCUCAGCCCGGCCGAGGCGAACCUGCAAGAGGAAGAGGUACGGACGCUCUUUGUCAGUGGUCUGCCCCUGGACAUCAAACCUCGAGAGCUCUAUCUCUUGUUCAGACCAUUCAAGGGUUAUGAAGGUUCUCUUAUUAAACUCACUUCAAAGCAGCCUGUGGGUUUUGUUAGCUUCGAUAGUCGCUCAGAAGCAGAAGCUGCUAAGAAUGCUUUGAAUAAUAAGUUCCAUCAACGUCUCCCUUGGUUUUUGUGGGGCAAGCCAAGAUCAAGAGGUUUAACCCCACAGUGCACUGCUUCAUCAAAAGGAAUUCGUUUUGACCCAGAAAUCCCUCAGACGCUCCGACUAGAGUUUGCAAAGGCCAAUACGAAGAUGGCUAAGAGCAAAUUAGUGGGAACUCCUAAUCCAAGCACUCCUGCCACCCCCAAUGCAGUCCCUCAGUUCAUAACCAGAGAGUCAUAUCCGCUGGCUCCCUCCCUCAGAGGCUACUUCCCAGGGCUGGAAGUCCCGUCAGUUCUGCUGAAUCCUUUGUACCAGGUGUGUGAUGGCGGCUACACUCUGUCUUGUGGGUAUUAAUACAUUUUCCCAAAGUCGCUACUGGUGUCUUACCUUCAUCUUCCAAAUUGCAGUGUGGUUGGCUUAAAAAACCUCACACGAGCGUGGAUUCCUUCAAGACUUUGCCACAGCCUCUAUCACACAUCUUCUUAAAAAUAAAAUAGAAAGCAUUGAAUAAUAAUAAUGAUGAUGAUGAUGAUGAUAAUAAUAAUAUGAUGUUCCUCUUCUACAUUGUAUAAAAGCUUAAGAGUUUAAAUUCUAUAAGCAUGAGUGAAUUUCUGGUUUGAAAAAAAUAUUUUCAAGCAGAGCAGCAAAGAGAACCAAGUAUUUUUUUAUACCAAGCAUUGUAAGAAAGAGGAUUUUACCUUGGGUGGGAUAACUGAUCAUAUGUUUGACUUUUAAAUAUGUGUAAUCUCCUUUUCCUACCCUUUUAAGAUGCAUGUUCAAAGCAUGUUUUUAAAUCCGGUUCAGAUUUUUAAAAAAAUGUAUUGUUUGAAAUGCACAGACAUUUUGGUUAUCCUGUCUGGGAGCCUGAGAUGGUGUGUUUUUAAUAUAUGAAGUGUAUUCCUGUGGUACAUGUUUUCAUGUUUCACCUAAUUGUGCCAAAUUAUAUUGAGCAAGACAAUCAGAAAUAUAAUAGCUUUUUCAUGACUGUAAAAUGUUACAGUUGAUGCGCUGUACAUUAGCGGUGCCUGAUCGCUAGUUCCUGCUGUAUUUUUUUCUUCUCCAUAUUUGGAUACGCAAUUGCGUGGGAAUAAGUAGUAGUGCACAAUAGAAAGUAGAAAGGCCCAGAAAAAGCUACACCCAUUUCUAUUAUAAUUGAAAAGGUGCAGCCAUAAUUAGGGAAAUUGCUGCAACUGUGUCUGUAUACCACUUCUCUUCAGACAAACAUCUCAUGCAGUUGUGUAUAUUAUUUGGGAAAGGGAAAAAAACAACAACAGUUAUUUGUGAGAACCCGUCCUGGAUGGCAAAGCUGCCCAGGAAGUAUGUACUCUAACAUCCACACCAUCUACUUUUGUAAGAACCUAUACUUUGUGUGUGUGUGUGUGUGUGUGUGUGUGUCUUUGACAUCUUUGAUAGGUAGUUUAGUUUUGUGGUUUUGCUCCAGGUAUAAAGCAAAUUGAUUCUGGUUAUUUGUUGUUACUCAUAUUCUUGGGGAAGGUAAGAGGUGACUGGAGCACUGAUCCAGAAAACUGAAGUACCUCAUGCCUAUAAAAAAUGCCAAAGGUUUUUGCUGAAGACAGUUCUAAUGAAAUGGCCACCUUUGGGGUAAUGGCUUGCCAGCUAUGCUUGAUCCUUCCCAGGUAAUCUCAGUGGCAGGCAUACAUAUUAGAUCCCAAAUCUAUGCAUUGGGGCCAAUUUAUGGGUUUUGAGGUAGCAGCAGCCCCACAUAAAGAACUGCCCUCAAGCCCUGAACUCCCUGCUGGGGAGCAUCUUCAGGUGCCCACUUUUAAAGAGCUAUUCAGCUUCACCUACUGUAUGUCUGUGCUCUGAAAAAAAAGAGCAGAACAAAUAAAGCUGCUUUUAUCUAGGAACAGAUGCUUAAAGCAGUACUGGGAAUGAUUUCAGGCACAACCUUGCAGGGAACAGCUACUUCAAAGUUUCCACUUUCUUGAAGUGUUUUCUCUCUAGAGCCAGAUAAUGGCUACAGCCAUAUGACUACCUGGUCUGGGAGGACUCUAGGGCUAUAAUGGGACUCUAGAACAUUGUUGUUUUUUUUAAGUGUUGCUUUCUUUCUGUUGUAGAGAAGGAAACCCCCACACAGCUCAGCUUUAGCUCAGGGGUGACUCACUUAAAUUCAGCUGUGCCCAAAGGCUGCACCUUUUGGAAGCUAAUAGCUUGAAUGAUUGAAGUUUUUCUGAUCUGCUUCCUGUUCCCACUUUACAUGGAUGUACAUCCCAUUGAAUAGAAUAGGACGUGCUUCUGAGUAAUUGUGCAUAAGAUUGCACCUUUAGUUCUUUGGGCAGCUAGGAAUGCAGCUACCUGGGGCAGAAGAGUUCCUAUAUCAUUAGUGUAAAAUUAUUCCUCCCCCAAUUGUGGAAAGCUGCCAAGGCCAGAAAUUCCUCUAUCUUCUCCCUCCAGCUGAUGACCCCUUAGCCUUUACAGUAGUGACAAGUCUGGCUAUACUGGCUUGCUCGGUAAGGAAGCCAACAGUGUUAAUAGGAUCAAAUCUUCAUGAAGCAGCUCCUCUGGCCAGGAUUAUUGUCACUUGUCCUGCGAAUAAGAUACAAUUUUUUUGGUAAGAAAUAUAAAUGAUACGUCAAAAAGUCAAAGGCUUUAAGAAUGCAAAAUUGCAAGAGGGUUGCUCGGCAUGUCCUCCUCUGGAUGUGAUGCAACUGCUACUCCUGGGAGUUGUACUCUGAACACAUCAGAAAAGUCCCAGGUUGGAACUAAGAAAUAGCCAUUAUUAAGCAAACAAUAUGGAUAAAUUGAAUGAAUUUAAAAUGUAACAGUAGGUGGUUGAAUAACCCUAAAAAGGAUUGUGCUGGACUGUUCAACAAAAAACUUGAUUUUCCUCUACUGCCUUUUACUGGCAGUGACUGAUAUAAACAAUGCUUCCAAUUUGUCAAUUUUUUUAAAAGAAAAAAAGUUGUUAAAAGAUACUUUUCUAUUAUAAUUUUCUAAAAAUAAAAGCAAUU